rnacentral:ncRNA from 1 species
GAAAACACUGUGAAUAAUAGUAGUAAGGAGUCAAAGUUGUUCAGAGAGCUAUCGGUUGCUGAGAAGGUAGUCAACAAAACUCCCUAAGUCGCUUAUGAGUGGUCAGACUGAAAUUAAGUAGGUUUGAACGGAUAGACUUCGUUUACAUGUAACAAGAUUAUUUGUUUUUAACAAUAGACAAAUUAAUUAGAGUGGUACCGCGUUAGGUUAAGCCUAUCGUCUCUAUG